UCAGGUGCAGAUAUAUCUACUUUCAUUAAAAUGACUGGCUUUAUUUCUGGCACUAAGUUUUUAUCUUACAAUACUCAAAAGUCACUUUUUGCAAAGCUAAAGUAGAUCAUAGGAUAUAGGCUUUGUAGAGAAGGAUGCAGUUUAUAUUUGUCUGGGGUCUCUUUGUUUUGCUGCAAUGAUGUAGUUGUCUGUUUUUAUUUUAAAUAUAGGUAUUUGGUCAAACUACAAUGAAACUCCUGAGAAGGAAAUCCAUUCUUCUGACUGGUUACUUGGAAUAUUUGAUAAAGCAUUACUAUAGUGAAGAUACAAAUGACCCCGAGCAGCCCUUUGUAAGAAUAAUCACACCUUCCCAAAUUGAAGAAAGAGGAUGCCAGCUCACACUGGUCUUCUCAGUUCCAAUUAAGGAUAUUUUUAAAGAGUUGGAAAAAAGAGGUGUCGCUUGUGACAUUCGGGAACCCAAUGCUCUCCGUGUUGCCCCAGUUCCUCUCUACAAUUCUUUCCAUGACGUGCACAGAUUUAUUGAAAUCCUGGGAUCUGCAAUGGCAUCUGUAAAGCAAAGAACAAACACUGCAGCACUUUCCUGAUCUUACUGACGGUGCAGCUAUACUUUUUAAUCUCUUAUGAAGAUGCAUCAAUGCUUCUGAGCAAUUUUUGUUUGUUUGUUUGUUUCUCUUGGGCUGGGCUAUAUGUAUUCCACCCAUUUGCCCCAAAAGAUUAAUUUUGCUUGGAUAGUUAUUUACAAUAGAUACACUUUUUAUUAAAACUCAUUAUUUCUACUUAUUUGGACUCCAUAAAUUAAUAUGCUUUAUGUAUUUUAAUAGGGUUAGUCUUUAGCAUUCUAGAUACUUUCUUCAUUUAGAUAAUUCUGGUUUACUUCUGACAGGCGAAACAGAAAGACAGCUGCAAACCUAAUCUUUGUCUAAUGUCACUGUGUGGAAUAAGGCACUAUAUACAACUCUGUGGAUAUAACCUGCAUUGGAUUUUAAGCACAAUUUCUAUUAAAGGGAAUUUUAAUUUGC